rnacentral:rRNA from 1 species
AGCAGCCGCGGUAAUUCCAGCUCCAAUAGCGUAUAUUAAAGUUGUUGCAGUUAAAAAGCUCGUAGUUGAAUUUCGGGAUCAAUAUAUUGGUCAUGCUUAGGUAUGUACUGGUAUUAUUGAUUUCUCCCUUCUGAAGAACCAUGAUGUCAUUAAUUUGAUGUCGUGGGGAAUCAGGACUGUUACUUUGAAAAAUUAGAGUGUUUAAAGCAGGCUUUCGCUUGAAUACAUUAGCAUGGAAUAAUGAAAUAGGACGUUUGAUUCUAUUUUGUUGGUUUCUAGGAUCGACGUAAUGAUUAAUAGGGAUAGUUGGGGGCAUUAGUAUUCAAUUGUCAGAGGUGAAAUUCUUGGAUUUAUUGAAGACCAACUACUGCGAAAGCAUUUGCCAAGGAUGUUUUCAUUAAUCAAGAACGAAAGUUAGGGGAUCGAAGACGAUCAGAUACCGUCGUAGUCUUAACCAUAAACUAUGCCGACUAGGGAUCGGAUGAUGUUAAUUUUUAAUGA